rnacentral:sRNA from 1 species
AUAUAUAAUGACUGCCGAAGACAGUAGGUGCCGUAAUGGCGUAAGGAGAACCCGCCUGCCGAGGAAUAAUUAUUAGAAAGCAUUUUAGCUCGACUAAUUAUUACUGCCUCCUGUUUUCGCAGGAGGCAGUUUUUUAUU